GAUGAAGAACGCAGCGAAAUGCGAUAAGUAAUGUGAAUUGCAGAAUUCAGUGAAUCAUCGAAUCUUUGAACGCACAUUGCGCCCGCCAGUAUUCUGGCGGGCAUGCCUGUUCGAGCGUCAUUUCAACCAUCAAGCCCCCGGCUUGUGUUGGGGACCUGCGGCUGCCGCAGGCCCUGAAAAGCAGUGGCGGGCUCGCUGUCACACCGAGCGUAGUAGAUUUCAUCUCGCUCAGGGCGUGCUGCGGGUUCCGGCCGUUAAACCACCUUCAUAACCCAAGGUUGACCUCGGAUCAGGUAGGAAGACCCGCUGAACUUAAGCAUAUCGAUAAGCGGAGGA
rnacentral:misc_RNA from 1 species